CAUCUUUAAUAGGAUGUUACGAUUGUGUGAAUACAUAGCACAUUCGAGGUAGACGCAGAGAACUGAAACAUCUAAGUACCUGCAGGAAGAGAAAGAAAAUUCGAUUCCCUGAGUAGCGGCGAGCGAAACGGGAAAAGCCCAAACCAGCAAGCUUGCUUGUUGGGGUUGUAGGACUCCAAUAUGGUAGUUCUUUCAGAUAGUCGAAUGACUUGGAAAAGUCAGUCAAAGAGGGUAAAAACCCCGUAGACGAAAUGUGGAAGACACCUAGGAGGAUCCUGAGUACGGCGGAACACGAGAAAUUCCGUCGGAAUCCGGGAGGACCAUCUCCCAAGGCUAAAUACUCCCUAGUGACCGAUAGUGAACCAGUACCGUGAGGGAAAGGUGAAAAGCACCCCGGAAGGGGAGUGAAAUAGAACCUGAAACCGUGUGCCUACAACAAGUCAAAGCCCGUUAAUGGGUGAUGGCGUGCCUUUUGUAGAAUGAACCGGCGAGUUACGAUUGCAUGCGAGGUUAAGUUGAAGAGACGGAGCCGCAGCGAAAGCGAGUCUGAAUAGGGCGUUUGAGUAUGUAGUCGUAGACCCGAAACCAUGUGAUCUACCCAUGUCCAGGUUGAAGGUGCGGUAAAACGCACUGGAGGACCGAACCCACGUACGUUGAAAAGUGCGGGGAUGAGGUGUGGGUAGCGGAGAAAUUCCAAACGAACUUGGAGAUAGCUGGUUCUCUCCGAAAUAGCUUUAGGGCUAGCCUCGGAAUU
rnacentral:rRNA from 1 species